UACGUAGGGGGCUAGCGUUGUCCGGAAUCAUUGGGCGUAAAGAGCGUGUAGGCGGUCCGGUAAGUCCGCUGUGAAAGUCGGGGGCUCAACCCUCGAAUGCCGGUGGAUACUGUCGGGCUAGAGUGCGGAAGAGGCGAGUGGAAUUCCUGGUGUAGCGGUGAGAUGCGCAGAUAUCAGGAAGAACACCCGUGGCUAAGGCGGUUCUCUAGUACGGUACUGACGCUGAGACGCGAAAGCGUGGGGAGCGAACAGG
rnacentral:rRNA from 1 species